rnacentral:tRNA from 1 species
GGCGUAGUAGCUUAGAUGGUAAAGCACUCAUCUAGCGUACAAAAGGUGUGGAUUCGGAUCCCACAUGCGCUU